rnacentral:tRNA from 1 species
GCAGCCAUGGCCUACUGGUUAGGGCUUCGGACUUGUAACCGGAGGGUUGCCGGUUCGGACUUGUAACCGGAGGGGUGCU